rnacentral:rRNA from 1 species
UUCGACGGGUAGACGUCCUGAGAGGGCGACCGGCCACACUGGGACUGAGAUACGGCCCAGACUCUACGGGAGGCAGCAGUGGGGAAUAUUGCACAAUGGGCGCAAGCCUGAUGCAGCAACGCCGCGUGCGGGAUGACGGCCUUCGGGUUGUAAACCGCUUUCAGUUCCGACGAAGCGCAAGUGACGGUAGGAACAGAAGAAGGACCGGCCAACUACGUGCCAGCAGCCGCGGUGAUACGUAGGGUCCGAGCGUUGUCCGGAAUUAUUGGGCGUAAAGGGCUUGUAGGCGGUUUGUUGCGUCGGAAGUGAAAACUCAGGGCUUAACCCUGAGCCUGCUUCCGAUACGGGCAAACUAGAGGGAUGCAGGGGAGAAUGGAAUUCCUGGUGGAGCGGUGGAAUGCGCAGAUAUCAGGAGGAACACCGGUGGCGAAGGCGGUUCUCUGGGCAUUUCCUGACGCUGAGAAGCGAAAGCGUGGGGAGCAAACAGGCUUAGAUACCCUGGUAGUCCACGCCGUAAACGGUGGGCACUAGGUGUGGGGAACAUUCCACGUUCUCCGUGCCGAAGCUAACGCAUUAAGUGCCCCGCCUGGGGAGUACGGCCGCAAGGCUAAAACUCAAAGGAAUUGACG